rnacentral:rRNA from 1 species
AUACGGAGGAUCCGAGCGUUAUCCGGAUUUAUUGGGUUUAAAGGGUGCGCAGGCGGCCAUUUAAGUCAGCGGUUAAAUCGUGGGGCACAACCCCAUUCUGCCGUUGAUACUGGGUGGCUUGAUUGCGGUCGAGGUUGGCGGAAUUCGUUGUGUAGCGGUGAAAUGCAUAGAUAUGACGAAGAACACCGAUUGCGUAGGCAGCUGACCAGAUCGCAAAUGACGCUCAUGCACGAAAGUGCGGGGAUCGAACAGGAUUAGAUACCCUGGUAGUCCGCACAGUAAACGAUGAAUACUUGUUUUCGGCGAUAUAAUGUCGGAGGCAAAGCGAAAGCGAUAAGUAUUCCACCUGGGGAGUACGCCGGCAACGGUGAAACUUAAAGGAAUUGACGGGG